UGGGGAAUAUUGGACAAUGGGCGAAAGCCUGAUCCAGCCAUGCCGCGUGUGUGAAGAAGGCCCUCGGGUUGUAAAGCACUUCCAGCGAGGAAGAACGCCUAGGGGUUAAUACCCCCUAGGAAAGACAUCACUCGCAGAAGAAGCACCGGCUAACUCCGUGCCAGCAGCCGCGGUAAUACGGAGGGUGCAAGCGUUAAUCGGAAUUACUGGGCGUAAAGCGCGCGUAGGUGGCUUGAUAAGCCGGUUGUGAAAGCCCCGGGCUCAACCUGGGAACGGCAUCCGGAACUGUCAAGCUAGAGUGCAGGAGAGGAAGGUAGAAUUCCCGGUGUAGCGGUGAAAUGCGUAGAGAUCGGGAGGAAUACCAGUGGCGAAGGCGGCCUUCUGGACUGACACUGACACUGAGGUGCGAAAGCGUGUGUAGCAAACA
rnacentral:rRNA from 1 species